UACGGAGGGUGCAAGCGUUGUUCGGAAUCACUGGGCGUAAAGGGCGCGCAGGCGGCCUGAUUAGUCAGAUGUGAAAGCCCACGGCUUAACUGUGGAAGUGCAUUUGAAACUGUCAGGCUUGAGUACCAGAGGGGAAAGUGGAAUUCCAGGUGUAGAGGUGAAAUUCGUAGAUAUCGGGAGGAAUACCGGUGGCGAAGGCGACUUUCUGGCUGGAUACUGACGCUGAGGCGCGAAAGCGUGGGGAGCAAACAGGAUUAGAUACCCCCGUA
rnacentral:rRNA from 1 species